AUUGAACGCUGGCGGCAGGCCUAACACAUGCAAGUCGAGCGAUCGGCUGACUGGUGAGUAAUGUAUGGGGACUGCCUGAUAGAGGUGGAUAACUACUUGAAACAGUGGCUGAUAACGCGUACUAUCGGCUAACCCAUAUGGGAUGAGCUAGUAUGUGGGGUAAAGGCUUACCUAGUCGACGAUCUCUAUCUGGUCUGAGAGGAAGAUCUGGCACACUGCGUCUGAGAUACGGCCCAGACACCUAAGGAGGCAGCAGUGGGGAAUAUUGCACAAUGGACGCAAGGCGGAUUCAGCCAUGCCGCGUGUAUGAAGAAGGCCUUAGGGUUCUAAAACACUUACAGCGGGGAGGCGGUACAAGAAGAAGAAGCACCGGCUAACUACGUGCCAGCAGCCGCGGUAAUAC
rnacentral:rRNA from 1 species